CCUACGGGGGGCAGCAGUGGGGAAUAUUGCACAAUGGGGGAAACCCUGAUGCAGCGACGCCGCGUGAGUGACGAAGCACCUCGGCUCGUAAAGCUCUAUCAGCAGGGAAGAAAAUGACGGUACCUGACUAAGAAGCCCCGGCUAACUACGUGCCAGCAGCCGCGGUAAUACGUAGGGGGCAAGCGUUAUCCCGAUUUACUGGGUGUAAAGGGAGCGCCGGCGGCGCGGGAAGGCAGGUGUGAAAGCCCGGGGCUCAACCCCGGGACUGCUUUGGAAACUGCCGGGCUGGAGUGUAGGAGGGGCAAGUGGAAUUCCUGGUGUAGCGGUGAAAUGCGUAGAUAUCAGGAGGAACACCAGUGGCGAAGGCGGCUUGCUGGACGACAACUGACGCUGAGGCUCGAAAGCGUGGGGAGCAAACAGGAUUAGAUACCCUAGUAGUC
rnacentral:rRNA from 1 species